rnacentral:ncRNA from 2 species
AGCUACAUCUGGCUACUGGG